ensembl:lncRNA
AAAAGACAUAACACAUUAUAAAUAAGUUUUUGUUUGUUUGUUUGUUUGUUUGUUUUAUAAAAGUGUAAAAUUGUAAAAGCUCGAAAAUGUAGCUGGUGCAAAAUAUAUGUAGAAAGCACAAAAUGCGUUUUCUUUUUUUUUUUUUAUAGAUUUUUACUCCCAUUGGUAUGCUAUGUAUCCAUGUUCACAAUAUUAAAAAAAAAAUAUAUAUAUAUAUAAGCAUAUACAUUAGCAUAUACAUAAGCAUAUACAUUAGCAUAUACAUAAGCAUAUACAUUAGCAUAUAUAUAUAUAUAUAUAUAUAUAUAUAUACAUAUACAUAAAUAUAUAUAUAAGCGCACGCACGCACAUGCGAACAAACGCAACGCUGCCACUUCAUUUAAAACUUGAAAAGUUGUCAAAAAAAAGAAAAAAAAAAUUUUAAAUAUUUAACUCGUUUUUCAUUUGCAUUAUUUCCUUUACUGGUAUGGGUUCGUAAGGGAAAUGGUCUAAUUUGGGUAUUGAUAAAUUUUGUAAUGAAUUAAUUAAGUAAUCUAUUGAGUUGUUUGACAAAUUUAAGCUUGUAUUUUCUUCAGGUAAUAAAGUUAAAAAAUUAUUUAUUAUAUUCGGUAUAGUAAUAUAUUCUCUUUUUAGAAAGUCUUCUUUAUCACCAACAUUUUUUUCAUUAUUAAAAGUUUUAACAUGUUUUUCAUUUAUGUUACUACGUUUUUGGUCAUUUAUUAACUCUGUUUUUUGUUCCUUUACAUGUUUUAAAUUUUCAAAGGGUUUAUAAGUACACAUCAUUUUUAAAUCGGGUCUCGUAAUAUAACUACUAUUCAAUGGAUUAGAAAUGGAUCCAUUUUUUCUAUUUUUUUUUCCAUCACCAUCUACCAUUUCAACAUUAUUAUUAACACUAUGUAUGUUGUGAACAUGCCUCAUGCUAUUUGCAUUUUUUUUUUUUUUUUUUUUUUUUUUUUUUUUUUUUUUUUUUUUUUUAUUUUUUUUUUAAUUUUCUUUUGUGUGUUUUUUAUUAUGUCAUUUUCUUCAAACAUUUCUUCUGAUGACUUAUUAUCAUCAUCAUCAACAUCAUCCUCCUCUUCCAAAUAAUUACUAUAUACUUCUUUUUUUCCAAUUUUAUUAUUAUUGCAAAUGUACAUAUUUUUAACACCUAUUGUUUUGUUUACUUCUUUCGUGUUACUUACAUAUUCUAUGUCCUCAUCUACUUUCCUACUAUAACCUAUCUUUCCUUCUUUUUUCCUCUGUUUUGAAAUUGCUUUCCCCUUUUUCAUUACUCCAUAAGAACCAUAACAAUCAGAAAACCAAGGGUUCAAUAUAUUGCUUAUACUAUCACAACUAUUAAACUCAAAAAAAGAAAAUGUUUUUUUAAAAGAGGAACCACCAAACAAUUGAGAGUUAACCAAAUUUAUUUUAAAAUUCAAAUUAUCUACGUCAUUUUUUUUUAAUUUUUCUAAAUAACCUUUACAUAAUAUAUCUACGAUGCUAUUAUCUUGUAUUAAUACAUUAGUAUGCUCAUUUGUGUUUGAUACAUUUCUAAAAUCUAACAAUAUAUUCUUAUUUUCUUCCAAAUUGUAACCUGCCUCACAUUUUAAUUUCAUUUCAUAUACUUUAUUUAAGUUGUUUAUAUCUCCAUAUAAAAUUUCUAGUUGUGUUAAUAGUUUCCAUAUUUUUUCACAUGAUUUAUUUUUUUUUUUUAAUAAUUUUAAAUAUUCUGGUUCAAAUUGGUUAAAUUCGGUGACCACACUUGUGGUAGUAGUUGUCGGUUCUGUUGUGACAGGUACAGUAGCUGCACUACCACUACCAACUGCACUGACAACAUUAGUAUUACUACCAUCACUACCACUACCAUAGUUACGACGGUUAUUUGUAGCAAUAAUCUUCGAUAUUUUCUUUACACCUUUCUUGUUUCCUAAUAAAACAUCUCUUCUAUUACUACUAUUUACA